rnacentral:lncRNA from 1 species
ACUCAAGAACUUUACUCAACAUCACAGUGUUCAUACAGGAGAUGUGCAAUGCAAAUGCAAAGAAUGUGACAAAACUUCUAAUAAAAGCUCCAAUCUUAUUUGUCACCAGUGGACACACCCUGGAGAGAUGCCCCACAUAUGUAAACAAUUUUGCAAAGCUUUUAGUCAAAAACCAAGCCUUAAAAAUCACCAGAGAAUUCAUACAGGAGAGAAGCCCUACAAAUGUA